rnacentral:rRNA from 1 species
AUUGAACGCUGGCGGCAUGCUUUACACAUGCAAGUCGAACGGUAACAGGCCGCAAGGUGCUGACGAGUGGCGAACGGGUGAGUAAUGCAUCGGAACGUGCCCAGUCGUUGGGGAUAACUACUCGAAAGAGUAGCUAAUACCGCAUACGAUCUAUGGAUGAAAGCGGGGGACCGUAAGGCCUCGCGCGAUUGGAGCGGCCGAUGUCAGAUUAGGUAGUUGGUGGGGUAAAGGCUCACCAAGCCAACGAUCUGUAGCUGGUCUGAGAGGACGACCAGCCACACUGGGACUGAGACACGGCCCAGACUCCUACGGGAGGCAGCAGUGGGGAAUUUUGGACAAUGGGCGAAAGCCUGAUCCAGCAAUGCCGCGUGCAGGAAGAAGGCCUUCGGGUUGUAAACUGCUUUUGUACGGAACGAAACGGCUCUGGUUAAUACCCGGGGCUAAUGACGGUACCGUAAGAAUAAGCACCGGCUAACUACGUG